UUUCGUUUUCCAAACUUGCAA
ensembl:piRNA 21ur-11912 ncRNA